rnacentral:sRNA from 1 species
ACCCAGAGUGUGUUUAAAUUAGUGUCCUAAAUUAAUUACAUUUUUUUUCUGCUGUGUGUUUCUAUUAGGUUUCAGAAAAGGGAUCCCUAACAUCGGAAGAGUUUGCUAAGCUUGUGGGAAUGUCUGUCCUCCUAGCCAAAGAAAGGUUGCUGCUUGCAGAGAAGAUGGGCCAUCUUUGCCGUGAUGACUCAGUGGAAGGCCUGCGUUUUUACCCAAAUUUAUUUAUGACACAGAGCUAAGGGUUUUGUAUUUAAAAUCCUUUUUGUCCAUAUGCUUGCGUCAUGUAGAGGUUGUAUGACAUUGAGCUAAGAGAUAAACCCCGAUCAAUUGAGAAUUUAUUAGAACUUCACAGUGCAAUGUAAAUCUCUUUUAAUUUCUCACUAAAUAUGGUCCAGGAAAUUUAUUUAGUAUACGCAUAGGAAAAUUCAGAAAAGUGAAUGCCAAUAUGAAUUUAAAAUCAUGCUAUAGUGCAGAACCCUCAGAGUUUAACUUGGAAUAUAGUGGAUUUUAACUUGAUCCUCAAAUCUAAUCAUUUUAUAAAGAA